rnacentral:pre_miRNA from 1 species
AAAAAGACAAACCCUGAUUUUCGUGCCCAACGUUCGGCCGUCCGUCUUAUUUGAAAAAAAAUUAAAAGACAAGUCACGCACAAAGUAUUAAUCAUGUUUUAUCAUCUAACAACAAUAAAAAUAUGAAUUAUAAAAAAAUUUCAUAUAAGACGGAUAGUCAAAGUUGGACACGGAAACCCAGAGUUUGCUUUUUU